GUGAACGCCGUGUUGAGCAACCAAUCCACGAAACCGAUCUCGACACGAACCAAAACUAUGUCUACCUGCGCGGCGGGGAGAGAAGCGCGUACCUUGGGUUGGACGACGAGGCGGAGGCGUCCCACGGGAAGGCGCCGCACGCGGAGGCCGGGAGGUCCUCGAGGAUGCCGCAGUCGAGGAACCAGUCGUCGCCGCCUCCUCCUCCUCCUCCUCCACCUCCGUCCCCCGGAGCGAGAGCCAUCGAUCGCCGCCGCCCGCGUCGAACCCUACCUCGCCGUCGCCGUCGCCGGAAAAGUCGCUCGCCUUUUCUCC
rnacentral:lncRNA from 1 species